CAAAACACCUGGAGGGCCAAAGUUUGCCCAUGCCUGCUUUAAAGCAAAAGCCGAAUGGCCACCUGUUGACUGUGUGAAUCCUAGAGUGGGGCUUUCUCCCAUACUAGGAUCCUAUGACUCCUUAGGAAACCUUUCGGGUUUCCUAGCAGUUCAAAUACAUGCAAAUGUGAGUAGAUCAAUAGGUACUGCUCCAGCAGGAAGGUAAUGGUGAUCCAUGGAGUCAUGCCAGCCACAUGACCUUGGAGGUGUCUAUGGACAAUGCUGGCUCUUCAGCUUAGACACGACUAGACUUAAUACCAGGGGGAAACCUUUACCUUUUACUUAUAUUUAUUUAUUCUGUAUGACACCUUUUCCCUUCUAAAAAUGCUCCAAAGUAGACCAUAAGCAUUAAAAUAGCAACAAUUUAGAAAAUGCUGUUAAAAACUAGAAGUUGUGCUAUAUUGAUUUUAGUAUUAGCAUUAUUGUUAGGAUACUAUCUUUUAUUUUUGAUAUUACUAUUAAUUUAUACUGUAUACCACUUUUUCCCUCUUAAAAUAUUCCAAAGUAGACUAUAAGCAUUAAAAUAGAAUUAAAUCUACAAAGGAAUCAUUAAAACAAAUUUAAAAGACAUGAAACAUUACACGACACAGAUUAAUGGUACAAGAUACACAAGUGCAAACAAGAGAUUUUUAUUUCAUUAAUACUCAUAUCUAUAUCUUCCAACUCUAUUAUCCUGUUCUGGAUACAACAAAUUGAAUGAUUCUUCUUCAACAAGAAGUCCAUUAUCUUUGCUAUUUAAUAUCUCCAUGGCUCUCUUCUUCCACUCCCAAGGCAUUUUUUUUGGGGGGGGGGGGGGAUACUGUUUGUGCUUACACUUGAAAAUUACCUAGGGCCGGCGCUGAAUACAGGCAGUCCCCAAGUUAAAAACAUCUGAUUUAUAAAUGACUCAUAGCCAACAAUGGGGAUGAGACAACAAGAAGUGAGAGAAAUCUACCUCUUGGAGGGGAAAUUCACUCCUGAAAGAUUUAUUAUCAUGGGGGAAAGGUGUCUCCACUGAAACUUUGUCACCAGUUCUUGUUUCCACAACAAGCUACAUUUUUCAAAAUCCAAUUCUCACAGGGACAGAAAGUGAGGUGAAAUCAUCUGAACAGAGAGGCACAGACAGCAAAGCAAACAUCACAGGGGUUUUGACUCUUCCCUAUGCUAUCCAAAGCUAAAAUAUCUAUAUUUUUGGUAGGAGUGACACUAAUAAUCCAAUUGCAUACAAACGUGGAAGGCUGAUUUACCAUUUUUUUCACUUGCAAACCAGAGGUAGAGAAACUGAGACCUGUGGGCACAUUCAACAGCCAGGACCACUUUUAGUGCACUACUCACCUGCUCAACCUUUAAAAAAACACUUUCUCUUUGUGCUAAUGCCUUGUUUCUUUUUAAAGGUGAUUUCUGGUUAGAAAAACACUUUCUCCUUUGCCUAAAGUGGCUCACAAUGUCACAAAUGUGUCAGAAUCCCCCCAUGCCUCUUAUUUGCAAAAAAGCGCAGGGCUUGUAAACAGCAAAAGAUUGAUCACUUAAGGUAUUAAUAGUAACUUUUUAAACUUGUAUACACUUGUGUUUUUAUCUCAACCCAUUUUCAUUUUUGUAAGAUACCUUUUGGGAAAAGUGUUGUAAGUGAAUACAUAAUCACCACCACCAUCAGAAUUAAGAUGGGCGACACUAACCACUUCAUUACACUAGAGCUUGGUUCCACUUUAAAUUCACUUUGAGAAGGGGCCUUUAAGCGACUCAGCCAGACAGGUCCUGGGCCUCACCAAAUUACAAACCCUAGAAUUCUGCAGGAGGCAGAAACUGGAUUUAAAGUGGAUUCAUGCUCUAGCGCAGGGGUCCUCAAACUUUUUAAACUGAGGGCCGGUCCACAAUCCUUCAGACUGUUGAGGGGCCGGAUUAUCAUUUGAAAAAAAAAUACAAACAAAUUCCGAUGCACACUGCACAUGUCUUAUUUGUAGUGCAAAAACAACAACAACAAGAAGAACAAUGAAAGAACAAUACAAUAUUUAAAAAUAAAAACAAUUUUAACCAACAUACAUUUAUCAGGAUUUCAAUGGGAAGUGUGCUCCUGCUUCUGGCUAAUGAGAUAGUCAAGUUAAUUAGGAUUGUUGUUGUUGUUGUGUGCCUCCAAGUCAUUUCAGAAUUUGGGUGAGUCUAAAAUGUAUUUAUUUAUUAUUUAUUUAUUUACUGCAUUUAUUUACUACAUUUGUAUCACACCCUUCUCACCCCAAAGGGGACUCAGAGUGGCUUACAAAUUAUAUGUACAUACAAUAUAUUAUAUUAUUAGCAUAGCACAAUAUUAGCAUUAUAUAUUACUAUAUUGAACUAUACUAUAAUAUUAUUAGUAAUAUUAUAUGCAAUAUAGAAUAUAUAAUUAAUAUUAUUAUAUGGUAUUAUUAGUGCUAUAUUGUAUUGCAUUAUAAUAUUAUCAUUAUUAUAUGUAUAUACAAUAUAUUAUAUUAUAAAACUGAGGGCGGGGGCCAGGUAAAUGACCUCAGAGGGCCGCAUCUGGCCCCCGGGCCUUAGUUUGGGGACCCCUGCUCUAGCGUGAUGAGGCAGUUAGUCUUCUUGCCUAGUUUUGGAAUGACUUCUUUAAGAAGUAACCAAAUGUCUCCUGCCAUUUGUUAAAAUCUUUCAGAUUCUAAUUUUUUUAUCUUGCUGUUCUGUAUCCAUUUUAUACCUACUAGUUAUGCAAUUUAAUAUUCUUAUUGUUCUUUAGCUCUACAUACCCACAUUGGAAGGAGAGACUAUGUAAUUUAACUUUACUUAAAUAAUUUUCUCAUUAGGCAUCUCCUUAUGAAAAAUUAUCCAGAUCUAGCUAGCUAUAAUGUAGAGAGACAGCAUGUGAAACCUUCAAUGUUAUUAUUUCCAAGUGUAUAAGGAUCUUGAAAGCUAUAACCCAAAACUGUAGCUGCUAUAAACUCUGCAAUACCUAUGUUGUGAUCAUCCACAGUCCUGCUACCACUUAACUAAAUGUGUCUUGGUUGCUAUCAAGAAUAGGCAGUAAAUGUUCUUUUGGUGAGGAAAAAAAAGACAAUAUGAAAAGAUUUUGAGGAAAAAAAUGUUUAUUAAACACAAAUGAGAAAGGCAGAAACCCUGAAGGGAAGCCAUUGGUGAAGGAUACCUGAGGAUAGAAGUGGACGUGAAAGGCAAAAAAAUUGCCAGUAUCUGUACAGCUCACACCAAAGCCACCAAAGACUAUAUGAGUUUUAGAAAAAUCCUUGUACUUUCACAUCUGGUCCAUCAAUUGUUUGCUGAGUCCAGUAUGAUUAUAUAUUUCAGAAUAUCAUGUGAUCAUGGCAGUCAGGAGAAGUC
rnacentral:lncRNA from 1 species